UGUGAAAUAUCGGGGGUCAACCGCGAUCGGCCAUUGGAAACUGGGGAAUUUGAGUGCAGGAGAGGGGAGCGGAAUUCCACGUGUAGCGGCGCACCCCCUCCAGAUGUGGAGGAACACCAGUGGCGAAGGCGGCUCUCUGGCCUGUAACUGACGCUGAGGCGCGAAAGCGUGGGGAGCGAACAGGAUU
rnacentral:rRNA from 1 species